AAAAAUCGUUCUAAUAAUUGUACGUCCUAGCAUAUCAUCGUCCUCUCUAUAAUCUAUAUGUUCCAACCACCUAAAUAUAUCAAAACCUUUUUAAAAAAGUCUCUUCCCAAUAUCUACAUAUACAUUUUUGCAGCCAUUUUGUAAAAUAAAUCAUGUAGUUGGGACUUAUUUACAAUGGCUGCCACUGGAUUUUAAUAUUUGUUUUUGAUAAUUAGAAAAAAAAUCUUCGAAUUAAAUAUUUGACAUUUAACAAUCUUCCUUAAAUCUCUCCACAUUAACUACACGAUUAGUUAUUAAAAUAAAACUUCCAAAAUAUUUAAUAUCAUUUAAUU
rnacentral:sRNA from 1 species